rnacentral:rRNA from 1 species
AUCGAACGCUGGCGGCAGGCCUAACACAUGCAAGUCGAGCGGAGCGGCUGACGGGUGAGUAAUGCCUAGGAAUCUGCCUGGCAGUGGGGCAUAACGUCCGUAAACGGGCGUUUAUAUCGUAUACCAUCAGAUGAGCCCAGGUCGGAUUGACGAGUUGGUGGGGUAAUGGACUACUAAGGCUACGAUCCGUAACCGAUCUGCGAGGAUGAUCAGUCACACUGGAACUGAGACACGGGGCAGACUCGUACGGGAGGCAGCAGUGGGGAAUAUUGGACAAUGGGCGAAAGCCGGAUCGAGCCAUGCCGCGUGUGUGAAGAAGGUCUUCGGAUUGUAAAGCACUUUAAGUUAGGAGGCGUUACCAGCAGAAUAAGCACCGGCUAACUUCGUGCCAGCAGCCGCGGUAAUUC